UACGUAGGGGGCAAGCGUUGUCCGGAUUUAUUGGGCGUAAAGAGCGUGUAGGCGGCUUGGUAGGUCCGCUGUGAAAACUCGAGGCUCAACCUCGAGAUGUCGGCGGAAACCACUUGGCUAGAGUCCGGAAGAGGAGAGUGGAAUUCCCGGUGUAGCGGUGAAAUGCGUAGAUAUUGGGAGGAACACCAGUGGCGAAGGCGGCUCACUGGACUGGUACUGACGCUGAGGCGCGAAAGCGUGGGGAGCGAACAGG
rnacentral:rRNA from 1 species